rnacentral:tRNA from 1 species
CAAAGAGUAGUUUAGUAGAUUAGAAUCUUGGCUUUGGGAGCCAGGGGCAGGAGUUUAAGUCUCCUCUCUUUGA